rnacentral:lncRNA from 1 species
CCUUUAUCAUACAUUACCUCAAUAAUGAAUGCCUCUCAUUCAGGGCAAUAGAGGACCGGAUGGAGAGAGAGGUGACCGAGGACCCAAGGGGAAAAAAGGACCAAAAGGAGCGCCAGGGAUCAUGGGUCCUCAGGGUGAGAGGGGCCAGCCAGGUCUCCCCGGCUUACCUGGUGUCAAAGGUCAACCAGGUGCUCCAGGUAUCCAGGGUAUAGAUGGUGAAGUGGGUCCUCAGGGAAUACUUGGAAAAGAGGGUCAAAAGGUCAGAGUC